UCCGGGUUAACCCCGGCAGUCUCUUUAGAGUGCCCAACUUAAUGCUGGCAACUAAAAAUAGGGGUUGCGCUCGUUGCGAGACUUAACCCAACAUUUCACAACACGAGCUGACGACAGCCAUGCAGCGCCUGUCUCCGUGCUCCCUUGCGGGCACCUCUCCAUCUCUGAAAAGUUCACGGGAUUUCAAACCCAGGUAAGGUUUUUCGCGUUGCUUCGAAUUAAACCACAUGAUCCACCGCUUGUGCGGGCCCCCGUCAAUUCCUUUGAGUUUUAGUCUUGCGACCGUACUCCUCAGGCGGAACACUUAUUGCGUUAGCUGCGUCACGGAGAAGUAACCUCCCCCAUAACUAGUGUUCAUCGUUUACGGCGUGGACUAC
rnacentral:misc_RNA from 1 species